rnacentral:rRNA from 1 species
CCCUGCCAUUUGUACACACCGCCCGUCGCUCCUACCGAUUGGAUGGUCCGGUGAGGUUUUCGGACUGGCGCAACGCUUCGAAAGUCGUGAUGCGCCGGGAAGUCACCCAAACCUUAUCAUCUAGAGGA